AGUGAACGCUGGCGGUAGGCCUAACACAUGCAAGUCGAACGGCAGCACAGUAAGAGCUUGCUCUUACGGGUGGCGAGUGGCGGACGGGUGAGGAAUACAUCGGAAUCUACUUUUUCGUGGGGGAUAACGUAGGGAAACUUACGCUAAUACCGCAUACGACCUACGGGUGAAAGCAGGGGAUCUUCGGACCUUGCGCGAUUGAAUGAGCCGAUGUCGGAUUAGCUAGUUGGCGGGGUAAAGGCCCACCAAGGCGACGAUCCGUAGCUGGUCUGAGAGGAUGAUCAGCCACACUGGAACUGAGACACGGUCCAGACUCCUACGGGAGGCAGCAGUGGGGAAUAUUGGACAAUGGGCGAAAGCCUGAUCCAGCCAUACCGCGUGGGUGAAGAAGGUCUUCGGGUUGUAAAGCCCUUUUGUUGGGAAAGAAAAGCAGCAGGUGAAUACCCCGCUGUUCUGACGGUACCCAAAGAAUAAGCACCGGCUAACUUCGUG
rnacentral:rRNA from 1 species